GUGUGAUUCAGGAGUACUUACCAGCAUGUUCUUCUCAAGCAAGCAUCAGAGAAGCCUGAAUGGAGAUAUCUUUAUUUAUGGAUGAGAUUCAAUCAUAGCUAAGAAAUAAGGACAUCAUCAGACUUGACAGCUCCUCUCCUAAUGCACUUGGUUGAAGCCAAUUCAUGGUAAAGUGACAACGAAGCAUUUAAUGGACCUGGGCCUUUUCCUCUCUAUCCCAGGAUGGGAGAAGCUGAGUAUAAAUGAGAUAAUGAAAUAUUUCCUAGAAGAGUUUCUUUUGCAUCUCAUUGAUCCCAAGUUUGUCACAUGGCCUUUGCUUCAAGGUUACAGGAAAGGUAUGUAUCUAGCAAAGAGAAAUGCGCUUAGGACAAUUUACCCCCAGAGUUGAGCUCAUUGUCAAUUGAAACAAAAUUAUCAAAGAAAAAAGAUGGAUGGAGAACUUUGGAGAAGGCAGUUAUAACUUCUGCUAUGUUGACUGUUGCGAGGAUGUGGAGAACUGACACUUAUGUGCUAACAGUGAGCAGUAGGCAGCCUGGUACUGACUUUUUAGUACUUAGUGAAAUUAAGUCAAUAUAUAACAUGUGAGACAGCAAUGGACAUAAAACUGAAAAACCCUUAGAGGCUUUCAUAUGUAUCAGACCUGACAUAGGAAAAACAAAACAAAACAAAACCCAAGGUGGACUAGCAGGUGGAGACUUUGGUUCUAGAUAGCUUUUCUUUUUUUUUUUUUUUUUUAAUUUUUUUUUAAUAUUUAUUUAUUUAUGUAUGAUAGUCACAGAGAGAGAGAGAGAGAGAGGCAGAGACACAGGCAGAGGGAGAAGCAGACUCCAUGCACCGGGAGCCUGAUAU
rnacentral:lncRNA from 12 species